rnacentral:rRNA from 1 species
AUGCAGCACCGUACGCCCCCCGACCCUCCCACCCCUCCUCCUCCCCUUGCCCCCGCCUACGCCGGGGCUGACAGCCCCUUCUUUGUCUCGCAGGGCAAGGUGGUGCCGGACGAGUACGACGAGCGCUCCUACUGCCUCUACGACACCGACGCCUCCACCGUCUACGGCGUCCGUGCCUUCUUUGUGCUCCUCCUCGCGCAGCUGCUGGUCUCUGGCGUCACCCGCUGCCUAUGCUUCGGCCCCGCGCUCUCCUUCAUCGUCUCCUGGUGCGCCUCGCUCAAACCCUAG